AUUCAUCUAAUUUUUGUAAAUACUUUAAUAGCUUUGAAUAAUGAUCCAUUUGUUCCACCGUUUCAUCUUCCUUACAUUCUCGCUUCUUUCCAACAUGCCAAAAAAGAAGGCAACAGGUAAUUAGGUACAUCGACUAUGAAAAUUAAUUCUCAAGUAUCUAUGGAGUAAAAUAUUACUAUGAGCUGCAAAAUACAAUCUUCCAUGUAUACAUACAAAUACAACAUUCAACAUUUAUAUGGAUUUUUCUGGGAUCUUCUGUGCUCUCACCAGAAACAAUCUGAGUUGUACCCCGGUUACUGCUGGAUAGAAUGCAAAAGCACAAAAGUAUUGAGAAGCAGAAAUGAUAUUUGUGCAAGAAGAAAUUUCAAAUGAAUUGAAUUUUGAAAAAGUUUGGGAUGAAUUGUCAUGCAAUAACGAUAUCGUCUGGCAUAAAUAGGUUGGUAAAUUAUAAUUGGAGGAAAAUAUUAUAUAACGAGUCUGCAUGCACUGCAUGUCUCGUCGUACCUGAACUGGUGAAGUGUUCAUUAAAACGAAUGGACCAAACGAAAAGGAGAAAAG